rnacentral:lncRNA from 1 species
CAGCACAACUCGCUGUGAGCCCGGGCAAAGUUCUGCCAGUGCCCUCCUUCCAUUCCGGGUACGCUCGUGUCCCUUAAAGCAACCUCUGCUGCCCUGGGAAGCUCAGCCGGGCUCUGGAUCGCUGCAGGAAUUUUGUCAGGGGAACAGAUUUUGGAAGAAUUUGGCAGCUUUGCAGUCGACAGUUUCCCAAAGGAUUUGGUGGCAGCAUGGAUCAGCCACUGACAGCUGCAGGAGAUGGAACGGGGCGAAUCGCAGAAUCCUUUGUGGAAGACUCCAGGAUGGAGUCCAAGCUGUGAUUAGCGAGCCCUGCACGGAACACCGGCGGGAACGGACACCGGGAUGAGGAGGAGGGCGGUGCUGGACACGGCGUGACCUUGGUGGACACGGGGGUGAGGAUGGUGAUGGACACGGGGAUGGUGAUGAUGGACACGGGGAUAUGAUGAUGGACACAGGGAUAGGAUGAUGGACACGUGGGCACUGAUGAUGAUGAUGGACACGGGGAUGGUGAUGAUGGACACAGGGAUAGGAUGAUGGACACGUGGGCC